rnacentral:rRNA from 1 species
GACGAACGCUGGCGGCGUGCUUAACACAUGCAAGUCGAACGGAAAGGCCCUGCUUGCAGGGUACUCGAGUGGCGAACGGGUGAGUAACACGUGGGUGAUCUGCCCUGCACUUCGGGAUAAGCCUGGGAAACUGGGUCUAAUACCGGAUAGGAGCCAUUUUUAGUGUGAUGGUUGGAAAGUUUUUUCGGUGUAGGAUGAGCUCGCGGCCUAUCAGCUUGUUGGUGGGGUAAUGGCCUACAAAGGCGGCGACGGGUAGCCGGCCUGAGAGGGUGGACGGCCACAUUGGGACUGAGAUACGGCCCAGACUCCUACGGGAGGCAGCAGUGGGGAAUAUUGCACAAUGGGCGCAAGCCUGAUGCAGCGACGCCGCGUGGGGGAUGACGGCCUUCGGGUUGUAAACUCCUUUCGCUAGGGACGAAGCUUUUUGUGACGGUACCUAGAUAAGAAGCACCGGCUAACUACGUG